AUGAAAAGAUCCGUCCUUCGUCACUUUCCCAACGCGUUGCUCUCUUUCUUCCCUCCUUCCUUCCCUCCCCGCUUUCUGACUUUUGGAAACCCUCAGAAAGAGGCUGACCAAACAUCGUUAGCAAAUAUCCGUCCAAGGCGUUGGCACUUUAAAAACCUGAGAAAAACAGGGCGACGUUGCCCCUUCCCGCCCUUAUUCCUCCCCCCGGUAAGAAUUGCCGUCCGUCUCAGGGAACUGCGCCCGAGGCAUGAGGGGCGCCUCCAGGAGACGUCACUGAAGCCGCUGCCUUACCCCUGGCGGCAGGGCAAGGCUUGCUGGGAUAGCAUCCGGGAACCACAACAGUCCCCCAUUCCAGCAGUUGAAGCCGGAGGGGAGAGCGUGCGGUGGGGCUUGCCUCCAUACCCCAACAGGGGGAAUGGAGAUGAAAGCAGCAAGUGUUGUUUGCUACACUUCUCAUUUUUCGUUUUGUAACAACCAUGUUCAGACUGAAAAAUAAUCCAAAGUCACUGAGCCAGUUUGAUGGCUCAGUAGGAGUAUGAACCUGAGUCUUCCCAAUUUUAGUUUAGUGCUCUUAUCCAUUGUUUUCAAACAUAAUCUUCCUGCUAUAAAAAAUAAACUGAAAUGGGUUGGAUAUUACA
rnacentral:lncRNA from 1 species